UCCCAGAUUACAUCUCCCACUUCUUUUGGCCAUACUGAAUUUAUCCUGAUAGGUGUGUGCCAAGCAGAGCUGUGCAGAAGGAGAUCUGCAGCACCGGCUGAUUAACUGGGCGACUCUGUGGCGCCUACAACUGAGGCCUUCUUCAUCUCUUUGUUUUUGUUCUCUCCUUUUCUUGCUGGAAGUUUGUCAGUUUUGAUAGUCUUUUCAAAGAAGCAACUCUUAACUUGGUUUAGGCUGUCAGUGGGAUAAUGUGUUUCCUGAAAGAUAGCUUUGCUGAGCACACAACUCGGGCUCCCCUCAUUUUCUGUAGAAUUCUCAAAGGCGUUAUUCGAAGUCUUUCAGCCUCCUUUGAUGGGUGGAGGGUCAGCUGCUCUUCUGACUGUCAUUCCAUCUGUCUCUUCUCUCUGCUGGUUUUCCCUAGGAUUCUUUGUCUUUUAUAUCUUCCAGCAGCAUGCUACAGAGUCUUCUAGGUGGGGCUGUUUUCCCCAGUCUCCAUUCUAUUGCAGUGCAAUCCUCAUCUGCCAUGAAUUUUGUGGACUGGCCAGACUCAUGCUUCUGACCCUGCCAAGGACCUUGUCAGAGGUUGAUAGACACCCUGUGCCCCUCCCCAGGCCAGGGGGAGGCAGGGAUGCCGGUCAGUGCUGGACAAUCUCUUCAGUACUUUUCUUUCAGCUUGCAAAUAUUCAUUUCACUGUUUUAAAUAUGCCACUUACCUUAUGCUCUGACUUUUUAAUUUUUAAUUUUAUAUUUUUAAUUUUCUAAAUUCUACUUGGUCCUUUUAAAGAUAAACUGGUCAUUUUUAUUAGUCAAUUGUUUCCUUUUUUUAGUCAAAUAUUUCUUAAUCACAUUUUUAAACUCUUAUUUUUUAACAUUAAUAUUCUGGAUCUGUAAUUCCAAUAUCUACAAUCUUGUGACUAUGACUACUAUUUAUUCUGCUAAUAUUUUCCUGCUUCAUUCUCUGUGUUUCAAUUGCAUGCAUGCACACAUGUGCAUGUGUGUGUGAAGUGUUGUCACUGAGGGUUCUUUGGGACACGAGGUGAAGUCGAGUUCUUUAAGACUGGAUCCCGGGUUGUGACCCAGUUCUCUCUUCUUGGAUGGAACUGCUCUCCUCAGUCCAUCUAGGGCAGAAGGCAAUACAGCAGGACAUCGCCUUCUUGUGGAACACAUGGAGUGUCUUGGUCCACUUCCCCCAGAGCAGGCAGCUGUAAGGGAAAUGGUUUGGGCGGUGGCCUCCAGCACGUGCCCAAGGAGACUUCCAGGAAAAUGGAGGAGUGGUGGGCAGCAGAGAAAGAAAUGCUCCAAGUUUCGGUGUUCAGAUCCUCAAAUACGGCAACAUGAAGAAGAGGAGGUGGAAGGAGAGGUCCUGCAAGCUUCUGGGGAGAAGCAGCAAAGAAAUAACACAGCCCCCACGCUCUGUGCACCGGCAGAGGCCACAUCAGCCUGGAGAAGCAGCAAGAAAGCGUCCAGCCUGGAGUGCUGGCAGAGGCCCUGUUGGCCAGGGAGAAACAGCAAAGAAGCCCUCUGCUUCCAUGCCCCCACCAUUUCCAGGCCUGGGGCCAGCAUCUGGUUAACUAUUUAGAAGACAACAAUAUGUAACAUAGUAACGAUUGUGGAUUUCCUACUGUCCUAUUACUUUUUAGUUGUGUUUCAUUUUACCAUUCUGUUUUACUCCCUUGAAAAAAAUUAUAGUUCACUUUAUUAAGUGGAAGCUUAGUAGUAUGGUUAGCUAUCUUGCACACACACAAAAGAGAAAGAAACCUUAAAAGAGCAGUAACUAAACUUGCAAAGGGAAGCCUUAAUAAUACAUUAAGGCUCCUUAAGUAUGUUUAACCUGUGUCACACUGUAGAUCUUAAAUAUCUCCGACUUGCUCCAGCCUGCUGUGCCACUGGGAAGGGCGGAACUUUUGGGGGUAGAGCCAGGUGGAAGGAAGUGAGGUCAUGAGGGUGUGGCUUUGAGGGGAAGUUGGGACCCUGGUCACUUCCAUUACAUUUCCCUGUACCAACAACACAGACCCUAAAACAGGGAUGCCAACCAUCCAAGCAUGGACGGGAACCUCUGAAACUGUGAGCCAAAAUAAAUCU